CACGAGGUGAAACUGUUUGUAACAUUAUUUGCCUAACAAAGUGAGGAGUGUGUGCGGGUAAGUGUAGACUGGUAGGUGUAGACUGGUAAGUGUAGACUGGUAGGUGUAGACUGGUAAGUGUAGACUGGUAAGUGUAGACUGGUAGGUGUAGACUGGUAAGUGUAGACUGGUAGGUGUAGACUGGUAAGAGUAGACUGGUAGGUGUAGACUGGUAAGUGUAGACUGGUAGGUGUAGACUGGUAGGUGUAGACUGGUAAGUGUAGACUGGUAAGUGUAGACUGGUAAGUGUAGACUGGUAGGUGUAGACUGGUAAGUGUAGACUGGUAGGUGUAGACUGGUAAGUGUAGACUGGUAAGUGUAGACUGGUAGCUGUAUGACAGUGGUAUGUAAACAGUCGAACCAGACAAUAAAGUCAUCCAUAUCAUGAGAGUGAGUGAGUGAGUAUGGUUUGAUGUCGCUUUUAGCAAUAUUCAAGCAAUAU